rnacentral:rRNA from 1 species
GAUGAACGCUGGCGGCGUGCCUAAUACAUGCAAGUCGAACGAAAAGACUACGAGUUUGAGCGGUUCACGAUUGCCGAGGACGGGUGUGACACACGUGUGUAACGCACCUCUCUGACUGAGAUAACUUCGAGAAUCCGGCGAUAACACGGUAGAACAUAGUGAUCCGUAUGGUUCAGUAGUGAAAGACGGUUGUGCGGUGAGUUAGCGAUGGAUCAGCUCCGCAUUAGCUAGUUGGUAUGGUAACGGCUUACCAAGGAAACGAUGGGUAAGCGAACUGAGAGGGUGAUCGGCCACACUGGAACUGAGACACGGACAAGACGCCUACGGGAGGCAGCAGUAGGGAAUCUUCCGCAAUGGGCGAAAGCCUGACGGAGCAACGCCGCGUGAGUUAUGAAGGUCUUCGGAUCGUAAAACUCUGUCAUGAGGGAAGAACAAAUGUGUAAGUAACUAUGCACGUCUUGACGGUACCUAAUCAGAAAGCCACGGCUAACUACGUG